rnacentral:rRNA from 1 species
GACGAACGCUGGCGGCGUGCUUAACACAUGCAAGUCGAACGGAAAGGCCCUGCUUGCAGGGUACUCGAGUGGCGAACGGGUGAGUAACACGUGGGUGAUCUGCCCUGCACUUCGGGAUAAGCCUGGGAAACUGGGUCUAAUACCGGAUAGGAGCCAUUUUUAGUGUGAUGGUUGGAAAGUUUUUUCGGUGUAGGAUGAGCUCGCGGCCUAUCAGCUUGUUGGUGGGGUAAUGGCCUACCAAGGCGGCGACGGGUAGCCGGCCUGAGAGGGUGGACGGCCACCCUGGGACUGAGGGAAGGCCCAGACAGCGACGGGAGGCAGAAGUGGGGAAGAUUGAACGAGGGGCGCAAGGCUGAUGCAGAGAGGCCGCGGGGGGGAAGACGGCCUUCGGGUUGUAGAACCCAUUCGCUAGGGACGAAGCUUUUUGUGACGGUACCUAGAUAAGAAGCACCGGCUAACUACGUG